GCCCGUCUGGCUCAGAAGAUGAGCUGGAGGAGACUGGUGCCAGUUUUGCCCGUCUGGCUCAGAAGAUGAGCUGGAGGAGACUGGUGUCAGUUUUGCCCGUCUGGCUCAGAAGAUGAGCUGGAGGUGACUGGUGCCCACUUUGCCCGUCUGGCUCAGAAGAUGAGCUGGAGGCGACUGGUGCCCACUUUGCCCUCUGGCUGUCUCCCCAGCUUCGGACAUGUGACUGGAAGUGUCGACAGAAGUCCCCGGCACUCAACAAAGACGACAACAGGAAGCCAUUCCACUUCAUUCAGCUCCAGGAGAUCUGCGAGCACAAAGGUGGCUCCCUGAACGUGUUCACAGGCCUCCCUGGUGCUGCGAGCACAAAGGUGGCUCCCUGAACGUGUUCACAGGCCUCCCUGGUGCUGUCCAUGACGCGCAGGUCCAGCGGUGGAGCUCAGUUUACACGGGGCAACUCACUCCACCUCCGGGAUGGUGCGUCAUUCGGGACAGGGGAUGGGGUAUGUCCCUGCUUGGCUGCACCCAUGUACCUCUCCAAAAUCCUGCUCAGGCCAGGUACAACCGACACCUUUCCACGACCAGGCGUGUGGCAGAGAGGGUGAUGUGGAUGAAGGACCAGUGGCUCGGUAUCUUCCUGAAGGCCUUUGAGGGGAAGUCUACCUUUGUGCCGGUGGUCGUGUCCACAUGUGCCUUCCUCCACAACCUCUGCAUCAGCAGCAAUGGGGACAUGGUGGAGCCAGAUGUGGAGGGGGGUCGACCAUGAGGGGGAGGGUGAGAGCCAUCUCUACCAACCCAACGACCAGCUGCCCUGUCUGCUCCUGGUACUGCCAACCCUGCAGACUGGCAGCUGCAGUGUCUGCUCCUGGUACUGCCAACUCUGCAGACUGGCAACUGCCCUGUCUGCUCCUGGUACUGCCAACCCUGCAGACUGGCGGCUGCCCUGUCUUCUCCUGGUACUGCCAACCCUGCAGACUGGCGGCUGCCCUGUCUGCUCCUGGUACUGCCAACCCUGCAGACUGGCAGCUGCCCUGUCUGCUCCUGGUACUGCCAUCCCUGCAGACUGGCUUUAUUGCGAAGGAGGUAAUGAUUCACAAACUAACUCGGAAUGUACUUCUUAAAUGACAAACUUACUAGUGCGCACAGUAAGUUUUUUUUUGAUGUUCCAGAGUUUUAAUCGGCCAAAAUACUAUAUAACAUUUUUUUUCUGCCAUUUGAUUGGGUAAACCUGUGAUCGGGACAGGCCGAUGGCAACAUGUGGCUACACGCCUGCCAAGCUAGCUGUAGCAGGCAUCUCUUCUUCAGCUUUUCGUCCUCGUCUUCAGUAUAAGUUGUUAUGCAGCAGAUGGCGUUUUGUUCCAUUCCUAGAGCACUUUUUCAGUUAGACGAAGAUAAGCACAGGUGAGCUAGCGUCCCAUAAGACUCACUCCCCUUGGCUUUCCCCCAUUCGGUAAGCAGGUAAGAAGCUCAGGCCUGCAGGUGAGGGACGGGGCUGAGAGAGAGAGAGAGAGAGAGAGAGAGAGAGAGAGAGAGAGAAAGAUGCAUUUGGUUAAACUGGAAGGUUUCUUAAUUUCAUUUUAAUUCAGUGAGGCUUUGGACCCAAAACCAGAACGUUUGAUGACAACUGAACUGCAGGAGCUAUUAAGGAUGAGCCCUUUCCUGAACCUGGUUUUACUUUGGACUUAGAUGGUCUAACAGGACCUGCGCUCGAAUGUAAGAGUGUAGAAAAUCCAGAUCUGUACAUACUGAACAGUAAGGCACUAUACUGAUGUUGUGUAAAGGCUUCAAACGGUUAAUUAAAUGGAAGAACAGACACGGAGAGGAAAACCUACAUCCAGAUAGUGCUGUUAAACCAGUGUGGUAUGGAAGCAUAAUCCCUACAUUGAGUUGACAGUGGAAACGCAAAAAAACUCCUCCUCUGUGGACAUUUUUAAAAGAAAACUUAAGACAUAUCUUUUUAGCCUGGGUUUUACUUAAGGUGCCUCAUCAUUUGUUGUUUUAUUCAUCUAUUGUUGUUUUAUUCUUUUAUUAUUUUAUUUGUUGUUUUGCUUUUUUUGUGCCUUUGUUUAUUGUCUUUUGGUCAUGUGCAGCACAUUGGGCUACAGCCACUGUAUGAAAUGUGCUAUAUGAAUAAAGAUUGAUUGAUUGAUUGAAACUGGGCUUUUGGGGUUCAGGGAGAGAAGGAUCUGAUUCGGACACAGGGAGACGGGGCCCGGGGAGAGAAGGAUCUGAUCCGGACACAGGGAGAUGGGGUCCAGGGCCGUCAGGAAUCAGAAUCAUGCUCUUCUGCCAUUCUCAUCUUCAGCACUGGUUGCUUGGUAACGGACUACAGGCUUUGCUCUCUUUAUCAGGCUCUUCUGGACUGUAAAGGCACAGCCUGCCCCCAACACCACCAGCACACCACCAGAAACCCUACACUAAAGGCUUCAACAGGCCAUUUUCAUACUUUCUGGAGCCAGGUAGUCUAUAGGCCCAUACAUUUCAGUACAUUCACAUUUCACAAUACAUUGUGAAAAUACACUCAUUUUAUGCAAAUUCCAUAAGAACUGUUAGUCUAAUUAAAAGGGAAUCAGUCUUCUUUUCAAUAAUUGUCAGGCCUUAGUACACUGAUAGGCAACAAUCAUUGUUUGAUAAAUGUUUUAUUUAGCAAUUCUGUGGAAAAACAGCUAAAUUGACAAAGCUAGGCUACAUCUUAGAAACCAUAGCCUAAGAUUGCAAAAGCCUAAAACCUAUACUUUUGUGUCUCUUAUGUGUAUUGUGCUCAAAGGGACAAUAAAACAUGAGGCAUUGUGGAAAAAAUAAAUUUUAUUUUAUAUUA